AUUGAACGCUGGCGGCAGGCCUAACACAUGCAAGUCGAGCGGAUGAAGGGAGCUUGCUCCUGGAUUCAGCGGCGGACGGGUGAGUAAUGCCUAGGAAUCUGCCUGGUAGUGGGGGAUAACGUCCGGAAACGGGCGCUAAUACCGCAUACGUCCUGAGGGAGAAAGUGGGGGAUCUUCGGACCUCACGCUAUCAGAUGAGCCUAGGUCGGAUUAGCUAGUUGGUGGGGUAAAGGCCUACCAAGGCGACGAUCCGUAACUGGUCUGAGAGGAUGAUCAGUCACACUGGAACUGAGACACGGUCCAGACUCCUACGGGAGGCAGCGGUGGGGAAUAUUGGACAAUGGGCGAAGGCCUGAUCCAGCCAUGCGGCGUGUGUGAAGAAGGUCUUCGGAUUGUAAAGCACUUUAAGUGGGGAGGAAGGGCAGUAAGUUAAUACCUUGCUGUUUUGACGUUACCAACAGAAUAAGCACCGGCUAACUUCGUG
rnacentral:rRNA from 1 species